rnacentral:rRNA from 1 species
CAACAGGGAUUGCCUCAGUAACGGCGAGUGAAGCGGCAACAGCUCAAAUUUGAAACCUGCCUCCCGGCCGGAUUGUAAUUUGUAGAGGAUGUUUUGGGGUAGGCACUGAUCUAAGUUUCUUGGAACAGUACGUCACAGAGGGUGAGAAUCCCGUUCGUGGUCGGCUGCCUGCACCGUGUAAAACUCCUUCAACGAGUCGAGUUGUUUGGGAAUGCAGCUCAAAAUGGGUGGUAAAUUUCAUCUAAAGCUAAAUAUUGGCCAGAGACCGAUAGCGCACAAGUAGAGUGAUCGAAAGAUGAAAAGCACUUUGGAAAGAGAGUUAAACAGCACGUGAAAUUGUUGAAAGGGAAGCGCUUGCAAUCAGACUUGCGCGUAGGUAAUCAAGGGCGGUUCGCUGCCCUGCACUUGCCUGCGCUCAGGCCAGCAUCAGUUCUGGGGGUGGGAGAAAGGCCGUUGGAAUGUGGCUCUUCGGAGUGUUAUAGCCUUCGGUGCCAUGCUGCCUCCCGGGACUGAGGACCGCGCUUCGGCUAGGAUGCUGGCGUAAUGAUUGUAAGCGACCCGUCUUGAAACACGGACCAAGGAGUCUAACAUCUAUGCGAGUGUUUGGGUGUCAAACCCACACGCGGAAUGAAAGUGAACGGAGGUGAGAACCCCUGAGGGUGCAUCAUCGACCGAUCCUGAUGUCUUCGGAUGGAUUUGAGUAUGAGCAUAGCUGUUGG